ACUCAUCCCUAUCCACUUGGGCAUGAGAAGAGAAGGGGCGUGGCUUCAUUUAUGCAUGGAGAAAAUUCAUGAGAAACUCUUUCUCAUGUAUGAUAAGUGGCGCACAAGAUGGAUAAGCAUGAAGGCGCAAGGGAUAAGUUAUCCAUUCAAAUUCAAACACCCUUUGAAUUUGAAUGGCUAACAAAUCAAGAUUAUCCAAAAAUUGGCGCA
rnacentral:lncRNA from 1 species